CCUACGGGAGGCAGCAGUGAGGAAUAUUGGUCAAUGGGCGCGAGCCUGAACCAGCCAAGUCGCGUGAGGGAAGACGGUCCUAUGGAUUGUAAACCUCUUUUGUCGGGGAGCAAAAGACGCCACGCGUGGCGUUCCGAGAGUACCCGAAGAAAAAGCAUCGGCUAACUCCGUGCCAGCAGCCGCGGUAAUACGGAGGAUGCGAGCGUUAUCCGGAUUUAUGGGGUUAAAGGGGUGCGCAGGCGGAAGAUCAAGGCAGCGGUAAAAUUGAGAGGCUCAACCUCUUCGAGCCGUUGAAACUGGUUUUCUUGAGUGAGCGAGAAGUAUGCGGAAUGCGUGGUGUAGCGAUGAAAUGCAUAGAUAUCACGCAGAACUCCGAUUGCGAAGGCAGCAUACCGGCGCUCAACUGACGCUCAUGCACGAAAGUGUGGGUAUCGAACAGGAUUAGAUACCCUUGUAGUC
rnacentral:rRNA from 1 species